rnacentral:rRNA from 1 species
AGGAUGAACGCUGGCGGCGUGCCUAAUACAUGCAAGUCGAGCGAACAGACGAGGAGCUUGCUCCUCUGACGUUAGCGGCGGACGGGUGAGUAACACGUGGAUAACCUACCUAUAAGACUGGGAUAACUUCGGGAAACCGGAGCUAAUACCGGAUAAUAUAUUGAACCGCAUGGUUCAAUAGUGAAAGACGGUUUUGCUGUCACUUAUAGAUGGAUCCGCGCCGCAUUAGCUAGUUGGUAAGGUAACGGCUUACCAAGGCAACGAUGCGUAGCCGACCUGAGAGGGUGAUCGGCCACACUGGAACUGAGACACGGUCCAGACUCCUACGGGAGGCAGCAGUAGGGAAUCUUCCGCAAUGGGCGAAAGCCUGACGGAGCAACGCCGCGUGAGUGAUGAAGGUCUUCGGAUCGUAAAACUCUGUUAUUAGGGAAGAACAAAUGUGUAAGUAACUAUGCACGUCUUGACGGUACCUAAUCAGAAAGCCACGGCUAACUACGUGCCAGCAGCCGCGGUAAUACGUAGGUGGCAAGCGUUAUCCGGAAUUAUUGGGCGUAAAGCGCGCGUAGGCGGUUUUUUAAGUCUGAUGUGAAAGCCCACGGCUCAACCGUGGAGGGUCAUUGGAAACUGGAAAACUUGAGUGCAGAAGAGGAAAGUGGAAUUCCAUGUGUAGCGGUGAAAUGCGCAGAGAUAUGGAGGAACACCAGUGGCGAAGGCGACUUUCUGGUCUGUAACUGACGCUGAUGUGCGAAAGCGUGGGGAUCAAACAGGAUUAGAUACCCUGGUAGUCCACGCCGUAAACGAUGAGUGCUAAGUGUUAGGGGGUUUCCGCCCCUUAGUGCUGCAGCUAACGCAUUAAGCACUCCGCCUGGGGAGUACGACCGCAAGGUUGAAACUCAAAGGAAUUGACGGGGACCCGCACAAGCGGUGGAGCAUGUGGUUUAAUUCGAAGCAACGCGAAGAACCUUACCAAAUCUUGACAUCCUCUGACCCCUCUAGAGAUAGAGUUUACCCCUUCGGGGCACAGAGCGACAGCUGGUGCAUGGUCGACGACAGCCCGUGCCGUGAGAUGCAGGGCUAAGGCCCGCAGCGAGCGCAUCCCUUAGGCUUAGUCGCCAUCAUUACGUCGGGCACUCUAAGUCGACUGCAGCUGACACGCCGGAGCAAGGUGGGCAUGACGUCAAAUCAUCAUGCCCAUUAUGAUUCGGGCUACGCACCUGCUACAGUGCACAAUACA